rnacentral:rRNA from 2 species
AAAGGGGGGGGGGGCUAUACAUGCAGUCGACGCGUUGGCCCAAUUGAUUGAUGGUGCUUGCACCUGAUUGAUUUUGGUCGCCAACGAGUGGCGGACGGGUGAGUAACACGUAGGUAACCUGCCCAGAAGCGGGGGACAACAUUUGGAAACAGAUGCUAAUACCGCAUAACAACGUUGUUCGCAUGAAGAACGCUUAAAAGAUGACUUCUCGCUAUCACUUCUGGAUGGACCUGCGGUGCAUUAACUUGUUGGUGGGGUAAUGGCCUACCAAGGCGAUGAUGCAUAGCCGAGUUGAGAGACUGAUCGGCCACAAUGGGACUGAGACACGGCCCAUACUCCUACGGGAGGCAGCAGUAGGGAAUCUUCCACAAUGGGCGCAAGCCUGAUGGAGCAACACCGCGUGAGUGAAGAAGGGUUUCGGCUCGUAAAGCUCUGUUGUUAAAGAAGAACACGUAUGAGAGUAACUGGUCAUACGUUGACGGUAUUUAACCAGAAAGUCACGGCUAACUACGUGCCAGCAGCCGCGGUAAUACGUAGGUGGCAAGCGUUAUCCGGAUUUAUUGGGCGUAAAGAGAGUGCAGGCGGUUUUCUAAGUCUGAUGUGAAAGCCUUCGGCUUAACCGGAGAAGUGCAUCGGAAACUGGAUAACUUGAGUGCAGAAGAGGGUAGUGGAACUCCAUGUGUAGCGGUGGAAUGCGUAGAUAUAUGGAAGAACACCAGUGGCGAAGGCGGCUACCUGGUCUGCAACUGACGCUGAGACUCGAAAGCAUGGGUAGCGAACAGGAUUAGAUACCCUGGUAGUCCAUGCCGUAAACGAUGAAUGCUAGGUGUUGGAGGGUUUCCGCCCUUCAGUGCCGGAGCUAACGCAUUAAGCACUCCGCCUGGGGAAUACGACCGCAAGGUUAAACUCAAAGAAUUGACGGGGCCCGCACAACCGUGGAACAUGUGGUUAAUUCGAAGCUACGCGAAAACCUUACCAGUCUUGACAUCUUCCGCCACCCUAAAAAUAGGCGUUUCCUUCGGAACCAAUGACAGUGGUGCAUGGUCGUCUCAACUCGUUCCUGAAAUGUCGGUUAAUCCCGCACCAACGCACCCUUUUACUAUUUCCACCAUUAUUUGCCACCCUAAUAAAAUGCCCCUGAAAACCGAAGAAAGUGGGGACAAAUUAAAUCACAUUCCCCUAUAACUUGGUAACACU